GGCCGCGGCUGGCGGCCGACGGCCCCUAAAGGGGCUGAGGAAACACCGCCCUCCCCGCGGGAGCCGGGCCCCGGAAGGGGCACGGGUGAUACCCGUGGCAAUGGCACAGAAACGGCACGGCUCCAGGCGAUGUCUAUGAUGCGGAGAGGUCCCCGAGGCAACUCGGGGGCAGGUAACCCGUUGAGGACAGCCUGGAGACGCGUUGAAACGGCCAGCCCCGGCGGAGCAAGGUCCUGGGGCUAUGAGGCCCGCGCGAAGCCCUGGGAGGAGGCCGCUGAGUCAAAUGCCGCCGUAGUACCGAAGGCGGGUUAUAGCCGCGGCC
rnacentral:RNase_P_RNA from 1 species